GCUGGAAGUUCCACACCUGCAUUUAGGACAGCGCCUUAAAGAGGACGCCCGUAAGCUCACAGGUGACUGACACCCAGCUAGAGGAUCAGCCGACGCCGCGGACCUCCAGGCUGCAACCAGGCAUUCACGUGCUUUCCAACAAAAAGCAGACACCACAAAGUCACUGCAAGCUAAAUUAAUGCAGCUUCAAGCAUGAAAAGAUUCCCCACCCCUGAUGUAUCCGGUGUUCCUGCAACCAGGGCUAGAAGAAAAGCCGCAUGAAGGUAGCACCUUCCGGCCUCUGCCUCCCGGUGGCUCAGCCCUCAGGGCCUCAGGUCCAGCACCCUGGGUGAGCCAGUGAGGUCAGAACCGUCUGCUGAUGCACGGGCAGCAAUGACAGGGCAGGGGAA